AUGUGGCAGCCUCCUGGGAGUAGGAGGAAAUUAUCCCUCAAUACACAUGAUGUAACCAAAGAUAUUGACCAACAUAAGUUGACUAUAACAAAUCCUCAAGUCGAACCAUACUUUUUUCUGCAUCAUAAAACAAAUCAUUUUGAUCAACAACGGUGGAGCAAUUCUGAAGGAAAACAUGAAUCGAAGAACACACACAUAGCAGUCUUUCUUGAGAGACUGAAUAAAGCAACAUGUUACAAAAGAAUUUCCACUAGUAAAGUGGCAGGCAGGCAUCAACAGAGUCCCAAACGGCGCACAAACAAACCGUCCCAAACACUCGCAUCAUCAUCAUCUUCUUCUUCUUCUUCAUAUCUCUCCGUAAACUCGCCGAUUUCAACAAUAGGUUGA